rnacentral:rRNA from 1 species
UACGAAGGGGGCUAGCGUUGUUCGGAAUUACUGGGCGUAAAGCGCACGUAGGCGGAUUUGUAAGUCGGGUGUGAAAGCCCCGGGCUCAACCUGGGAAUUGCAUUCGAGACUGAAUAGCUAGGGUACGGUAGAGGGAAGUGGAAUUCCUGGUGUAGCGGUGGAAUGCGCAGAUAUCAGGAGGAACACCAAUAGCGAAGGCAGCUCGCUGGGACGUUACUGACACUAAGGCGCGAAAGCGUGGGAGCGAACGAGGA